GUGCUUGCUUCGGCAGCACAUACACUAAAAAUUGGAACCAUACAGAGAUUAGCAUGGACACCGCGCAAGGAUGAUUGAAAAUUCGUGAAGUGUUUCAUAUUUAU
ensembl:snRNA U6 U6 spliceosomal RNA